CUAAACAUUUUGCUGGUAUAUCCAGUUCUUCAGGCUGAUCACAGCAAAAUGGCAGCAGGCAAGAUUUGCAAGGAACCAGAAAAGAGAAGGUGGAGAAGCAUAACAGAGCUUACAGUAUACUUGCAGUGACUUUGGAUGAUGUCUGAAUGAAGGUGCUGGUACAACAAAGAAGUCUGAAGCUGGUCUCACUCAAGGGUUGGGGGGCCCUGUGGUGAGGGGGGCCGAAUGUCAGACCCAGCGUGAUACUUACCUUCCGAAGUCCGGAAUGUUCCAGUUAACCAUGUGUUCCAGCCGAGUCCAGUAGCUUCGUGAGCUACAUCGCCAACAGCGGCAGCCGAACGGGUCACGUGAACAUCCUAUAUUGCCAGCACACAACCGGACGGAGGCUAUGUAGAAAUGGAAUAUGGAGAAGCCGAAUGCUGUUAAAACUGUUAUGGCUUAUGUUGCUGGAACCGUGACUCUGUGAAUGAUGGGAACUGGGACGCUGGGUCUGACAACACUUGGAUACCGG